rnacentral:rRNA from 1 species
CCUACGGGUGGCAGCAGUGGGGAAUAUUGGACAAUGGGGGGAACCCUGAUCCAGCCAUGCCGCGUGUGUGAAGAAGGCCCUCGGGUUGUAAAGCACUUUCAGUGAGGAAGAACGCCUGGUGGUUAAUACCCAUCAGGAAAGACAUCACUCACAGAAGAAGCACCGGCUAACUCCGUGCCAGCAGCCGCGGUAAUACGGAGGGUGCGAGCGUUAAUCGGAAUUACUGGGCGUAAAGCGCGCAUAGGUGGCUUGAUAAGCCGGUUGUGAAAGCCCCGGGCUCAACCUGGGAACGGCAUCCGGAACUGUCAAGCUAGAGUGCAGGAGAGGAAGGUAGAAUUCCCGGUGUAGCGGUGAAAUGCGUAGAGAUCGGGAGGAAUACCAGUGGCGAAGGCGGCCUUCUGGACUGACACUGACACUGAGGUGCGAAAGCGUGGGUAGCAAACAGGAUUAGAUACCCGGGUAGUC